rnacentral:RNase_P_RNA from 2 species
CCAGGGGGCCGGGCAGCCGCGCGUUUCCGCAAGGGAUGCGAGGAAAGUCCGGGCUCCACGAAGUAAGGGUGGCGGGUAACGCCCGCCGUGGGAAACCAUAGGGAAAGUGCCACAGAGAGCAGACCGCCCCGCUGGUCGGGGCAAGGGUGAAAGGGUGCGGUAAGAGCGCACCGGGAGGCUGGCGACAGUCUCCGCACGGCAAACCCCACCCGGAGCAAGGCCAAAUAGGGACUUCGCGCCCCUUCACCGGGGCAGGAACACUUCGUUCCGAGAAGUCCGGGUUGGCUGCUUGAGCAGGGGAGCAAUCCUCCGCCCAGAUGAAUGGCUGCCCCCGCUUCGGCGGGACAGAACCCGGCUUACAGGCCCCCUGGCAUU